rnacentral:rRNA from 1 species
CCCUUAGAUGUCCGGGGCCGCACGCGCGCUACACUGAAGGAAUCAGCGUGGCUUUCUCCCUGACCCGAAAGGGUUGGGAAACCCGUUGAAUCUCCUUCGUGAUAGGGAUUGGGGCUUGAAAUUGUUCCCCAUGAACGAGGAAUUCCCAGUAAGCGCGAGUCAUAAGCCCGCGUUGAUUACGUCCCUGCCCUUUGUACACACCGCCCGUCGCUACUACCGAUUGAACGGUUUAGUGAGGGCCUCGGAUUGGUCUCGGCCCGCUCUUUACCGGGCGGCGCCGUUGGUCGAGAAGACGCUCGAACUUGAUCGUUUAGAGGAAGUAAAAGUCGUAACA